rnacentral:rRNA from 1 species
UACAGAGGUCCCAAGCGUUGUUCGGAUUCACUGGGCGUAAAGGGUGCGUAGGUGGCGAGGUAAGUUUGAUGUGAAAUCUCCGGGCUUAACCCGGAAAUGGCAUUGAAUACUCUCUCGCUAGAGGGUUGGAGGGGGGACUGGAAUUCUCGGUGUAGCAGUGAAAUGCGUAGAUAUCGGGAGGAACACCAGUGGCGAAGGCGACUUCCUGGCCUGUUCUUGACGCUGAGGCGCGAAAGCUAAGGGAGCAAACGGG